GUGUGAGCAGGAAGAUGGGCACAGCUGUGCAGGCACCACUCCUGCAAGCACCCUCGUUAUAAUAAACUCCGUGAGCACUGCUGCAGGCUGCACGCUGCUUCUGACAGCAAAGUCUCCUCAGGAGAAACGUGGCCCCGUGGAGAAGAUCCACGAUGUGUCUUCAGUGGCUUCCACAGAACCUCUGGCGGGGGAAUGGCAGUAGGUAACAGUUCCUGAGCUCCGGUAGGCACUAACCUUUGCAUGUUACUGUCUUACAUAAUCUCUACUAUAACCUUCUGGGGUCUGGAGAUGGGGACCCCAUUUACAGGCAAGUAGCUGAGUUCAGUGGCUCGAGGUCACUCGGCUCACAGUGGUGAUUCCGUGGUGUGAACCCAGGCCCGGGUGUGUCUGAAUCCAGAGCCCCCAGGCUGAAUCUUUUGGUAAGGGGCUGUCGGUCCAGCUUGCCGCAGUUCCUCCAGGGAUGUGUGAGCCUGACUCGGUGGCUCUCCACCCAUAACACCUGCUUCCUGUCGGACCUGUUAGGGAACCUGUGCACCUGUCUCUGAGGCAUCAUCCCAGGGUUGGUCCUGACCAACAGGGGCACUCUCUAUUCAUUUUCUCCCGAAAAUAUCCACCCUGAUCAC
rnacentral:lncRNA from 13 species